UUGAUGCAGAUGAGGAGACACAAGUUUUAUGGGUAAUUUGCGUCUGAGGCGUCUCUGUGAUGUCAAACUCUUUUUCACCUUGGAGAUCUGAUGCAUCCC
rfam:Brachypodium distachyon strain Bd21 chromosome 3, whole genome shotgun sequence.